CGUUACGGCCACACCGGCCUGAGUACGCCUGAUCUCGUCCGAUCUCGGAAGCUAAGCAGGGUCGGCCUGGUUAGUACUUGGAUGGGAGACCGCCUGGGAAUACCAGGUGCUGUAAGCU
rnacentral:rRNA from 1 species